AGAGAGAGAGAGAGAGAGACAGAGAGAGAGAGAGACAGAGAGAGAGAGAGAGAGAAUCCCAACCAGGCUUCACACUGGCAGCCAGAGCUGACAUAAGGCUCAAACUCAUGAACUGUGAGAUCAUGACCUGAGUCAAAACCAAGAAUCGGAUGCUUAACUGACUGAGUCAUCCAGGUGCCCCAGAAUCAUUGCAUUUUUAAUGGCCUCUGUGCUUAGAUUCUUAGCUUUAUUUUAUCAUACUUUCCUUCCAAUAAUCUUGUUCUCUUUAAAUUUAGGAAUACAGUAUCCAUUCUGAGGAGAAUUAUCCCAGUUCAACUUGAGAGCUGAAAGAAAAAGAACAAGGGAGCUGAUGUCACGUCCCAGUUCAGAAGUUGAGAAGUGGAACCAGACUCUGCCUCCCCCAUGCCUGCACCUGAGCAGCACCCCAUCACCAGACAAAAGCACACAACUGACUUUAUUUCAUUUUACAAGUACGACAAUAUGUCUCCUUUGGACACUCAACCCUGCUUGACAGUCUUAUUAUAAUUCCCCAGCACAGUCAUCUGGUCACUUUCUAAAACAACCUUUCACUCCUUCUCUUGUCUGGUUUCUGAUCGUGCCAAUGAUCAAAGGAAGGACGAAGGACGAUUAAACACAUCCUUACUUUAUUCCAUUUCUGUGUGAAGACCUGUAUGAACAGGAAAAUUAUUUUAGGAUAAGUACCUGUGCAAAAAAAAAGUCAACAUUUUUUUUGUGACUGAGGAAGCUGUCAUAGAUAAGUGAGUUGUCUCUGAAGUAUGUAAAACCUUUUUCAUAUGUAAAUAAAGUAAAACCUGGCAGCUUA